rnacentral:lncRNA from 1 species
GUCAGAGCGAUUCAGAUCGACAAUCAAUAUGUGCGCCUACAUUGUGUUAGUCCCGUUGCUGAUGUUUAUAAAGUCAAUAUAUACUGGCAAGCAGCAACGUCUAGGAAUAUACGGUAUACAUAUAACAAAAUGAGAAUAUUCACAGACCCUAGUGUGUGCGACAACACUUCAGACUGGUUCCAUUGCUGGGAGAGCAACGUCGGCGAGGGUACCUGCACGGAUACGUAACACUCAAGUGUGCAACGGGCUGGCGGACUGUCCGAAUGGCGAGGAUGAGUCGAUUUUAGAGUGCAAACACGAGCCGAAACUAUCGCAUUACUCGUAUUUCUACUGUGCCACUGGAGCGGCGAUCGAAAUGAAAUAGAAGUGUGACGGAGAAGUCGACUGCAGCGACGGAUCGGAUGAGUUGCGGACGAUGUGUCAGCCUGGAAAAGAAAUUAAUCGUUGAGGAAAUUGUAAAGGGUAGGGAUGAAGUCUUAAAGACAAAAACUGUGCUCUAAGUCGUUCUUCACCGUCAGAAAUUUGUCGUUCGAGUGCCGACCAGGAGAGUGUGUCCGCAAUGGCAGACUCAUAUACACUGAACGGAUCUGCAAUGGCAUCUACGACUGCAUCGAUGGUGCGGAUGAGCUGCCAAAUGUUUGCGAUAAGGAGACAGACACAAAGAAAUGCCAGGAGCCACGAGCACCGCUCUCCUUCACACUAGACACCAAAUAUCAUCGUGGCAUCAAUGGCACAAAAUAUGUUUUGCCUCUCGAAGUGGUGAAGGUGCAGUGUAUACCCACGAAAAGAUUAACUGCCACGAGCUCCGAGUGGAAUGUCUGCGGAGCGAAUGGUAAAUGGGCACAUCAUUGGCCAAAGUGUAAGAAAGCUAGAUAUUAAGCAUAAAGCAUCUUUGGCUGUCAAAAAUCUAAUAUUAAUUGUCUCCAUCAUCAUUCAGGUUAAAACCCCCAUAAAGGCACCCAAACUGAUGACUUUCGAUUAAUCAUUUGCCUUUGGUAUCCUUUUAUUUCCACAUUUUCCCUGCACAUGUGUCAUCUGUGGGAAAAGACAGUCAGACAUUCGCUCCAUUUAUGCAAAGUUCUUUUUUUGUGUGUCCGUGGUGUGGCUGCAGACAGGCAGACAUUUGUAUCUGCGUAUCUGUGUAUCUGUGUAUCUGUGACUAUAACAAGCAACGAAUCGGGCGAGACAUCAAAUUAAUUCACAAAAAUGUACUCUGUUCGGCAUGCAAGGACUCACAAUGCUGGAUUUCAGAGAAAUCCUCAGCAAUUUGUUCAACAAAUGUUGGACUCAAUCACUCAGGAGUAGGG